CACGUAGGGUGCGAGCGUUGUCCGGAAUUAUUGGGCGUAAAGAGCUCGUAGGCGGUGUGUCGCGCCGGCCGUGAAAACCUGCAGCUUAACUGUGGGCUUGCGGUCGAUACGGGCAUCACUGGAGUUCGGCAGGGGAGACUGGAAUUCCUGGUGUAGCGGUGAAAUGCGCAGAUAUCAGGAGGAACACCGGUGGCGAAGGCGGGUCUCUGGGCCGAUACUGACGCUGAGGAGCGAAAGCGUGGGGAGCGAACAGG
rnacentral:rRNA from 1 species